rnacentral:rRNA from 1 species
GAUGAACGCUAGCUACAGGCUUAACACAUGCAAGUUGAGGGACCGGCGCGCGGGUGAGUAACACGUAUCCAACCUGCCCUUUACUCGGGGAUAGCCUUUCGAAAGAAAGAUUAAUACCCGAUAUAAAGGAUGGGGAUGCGUUACAUUAGGGUGUUGGUGAGGUAACGGCCCACCAAGCCUUCGAUGGCUAGGGGUUCUGAGAGGAAGUCACACCACAUGGGAACUAAGACACGGACCAAACUCGUACGGGAGGCAGCAGUGAGGAAUAUUAGUGAAUAGGCGGUAGCCUGAACCAGCCAAGUAGCGUGAAGGAUGAAGGCUUAUGGGUCGUAAACUUCUUUUAUAUAAGAAUAGGUAUUAUAUGAAUAAGGAUCGGCUAACUCCGUGCCAGCCGCCGCGGUAAUUC